UACGUAGGGGGCAAGCGUUGUCCGGAAUCAUUGGGCGUAAAGCGCGCGUAGGCGGCCCGGUAAGUCCGUUGUGAAAGUCAAAGGCUCAACCUUUGAACGCCGAUGGAUACUGCCGGGCUAGAGUCCGGAAGAGGCAAGUGGAAUUCCUGGUGUAGCGGUGGAAUGCGCAGAUAUCAGGAGGAACACCUAUAGCGAAGGCAGCUUGCUGGGACGAAACUGACGCUAAGGCGCGAAAGCGUGGGGAGCGAACAGG
rnacentral:rRNA from 1 species